AUUGAACGCUGGCGGCAGGCCUAACACAUGCAAGUCGAGCGGAUGAAGGGAGCUUGCUCCUGGAUUCAGCGGCGGACGGGUGAGUAAUGCCUAGGAAUCUGCCUGGUAGUGGGGGAUAACGUCCGGAAACGGGCGCUAAUACCGCAUACGUCCUGAGUGAGAAAGUGGGGGAUCUUCGGACCUCACGCUAUCAGAUGAGCCUAGGUCGGAUUAGCUAGUUGGUGGGGUAAAGGCCUACCAAGGCGACGAUCCGUAACUGGUCUGAGAGGAUGAUCAGUCACACUGGAACUGAGACACGGUCCAGACUCCUACGGGAGGCAGCAGUGGGGAAUAUUGGACAAUGGGCGGAAGCCUGAUCCAGCCAUGCCGCGUGUGUGAAGAAGGUCUUCGGAUUGUAAAGCACUUUAAGUUGGGAGGAAGGGCAGUAAGUUAAUACCUUGCUGUUUUGACGUUACCAACAGAAUAAGCACCGGCUAACUUCGUG
rnacentral:rRNA from 1 species